rnacentral:misc_RNA from 1 species
UUUUUUUUUUUUUUGUCCUUUCUUUAGUUAUAGUCAGUCUACGAAGAAUCCAGUAUGAUUAAUUCAAGCACGGCUGAUAAGUUGAUUGAAGCAGAGGAGGGGACAGAUGGAAAUGAGGAGAACAUCGCCACUUCAGCUUCAAGCCCUUGAGAAAUUCCAUGCUGGUGGUAGUGGUAUUUCAAGCAGAGCAGAAGUAUCCUACUCGUAUAGCUAUUGAAGAACUUGCUGCAGUCUUGGGCUUGACAUUGAAGCCGGUCCAGGGAUGGUUUAUUGAGUGAUGGUUUAUUGAGCAGGUCUAGGGAUGGUUUAUGUCUACUGAACCCCUCUGUUUGAGAAAGAAACUUUUAGUUGUUAAAGGAAGAAAAGGGUUGCGAGUUGCCUUUGCUAAUAGAAAGAUACAUAAACAGCAGGACAGCCUGAUUAUGGAUGCAUCUUCAGAGGCUUCAGACAGGAUUCAUAAAAAUAAGAGGAAGAAGUUUGCAUUGCAAGCUGAACCACCUUUGCUUCUGAAAAGAAUCACCGUGUUGCAUUUCUGGUCUGAACUCGGGCGGUCGAGCAAUAUAUACAAGUUUUUGUAGAGCAGAGCUUUGAUAUUUCCAAUUUUUUACUAUUGCUGUGCUAUGGCAGUCAAUUAGAUUAUGUACAGCAUUAAAAUAGAUAUCCAUAAUCAGGAAAUUUUAGUUUUUGAUACAUAUUUUUACCAUGACCUUUAGUAGCAAAAAUAACAUCGAUUCCCUUGUUUUCUUGUAGAAAAAGGAUAUUUUUGCUACUUCAGGUAUUUGGUUGAAUCAAAUUUUGUGAAUGUAUGCUUGACAGUCCAAUUAUUUUGAGGGAAAAUAAAAUGUUGUCAAUGUAGAGAAUACAAUGCUGAAGCUUACUUUUUCUUUAGGAGUUGUCUACUCCUUGCAUCUCUCUUCUACUAUAUAUAUGUGUGUGUGUGUGUACUUAUAACAAUGCCUAUAUAAAUUAAACAAUUAAUUAACUAAAGCAAAAAGUAAAAUAAUCAAAUCAACAAUAAAUUAAUAAUUCCUAUA